rnacentral:rRNA from 1 species
AUCUUAUAGAAUAACAAAUUAUAGGUGGGCCCUGCCCGGUGAAUAAUUAACGGCCGCAGUAUUUUAACUGUGCUAAGGUAGCAAAAUCAAUAGGCUUUUAAUUGAAGUCGAGUAUGAAUGGGUUAAUGUGGGGAUGCUUUAUUAUAGUUAAAUGUUUUAAUUUAAUUAUUAGGUGAAAAUGCCUAUAUUGUAAAAAAAGACGAUAAGACCCUGGGAGUUCUUCAUUAUAAAUGUUUGUUGGGGCAACAAAUAAACUAAACAUUAAUUUGAACACGUCUAUUAAUAUUUAAGCAAAACUACCCCAGGGAUAACAGCAUUAUACUUUUAGUGUUUGUGACCUCGAUGUUGGACUAGGUAAUAAAAUAACAAGCAGUUAUCUUAUAAUGCUCUGUUCGAGCAGUUCUACCU